GAGUGGCGGACGGGUGAGUAACGCGUGGGUAACCUACCCUAUACAGGGGGAUAACAGUUGGAAACGACUGCUAAUACCGCAUAAGCGCACAGUAUCGCAUGGUACAGUGUGAAAAGCUCCGACGGUAUAGGAUGGACCCGCGUCUGAUUAGCUAGUUGGUGAGGUAACGGCCCACCAAGGCGACGAUCAGUAGCCGACCUGAGAGGGUGACCGGCCACAUUGGGACUGAGACACGGCCCAAACUCCUACGGGAGGCAGCAGAGGGGAAUAUUGCACAAUGGGCGAAAGCCUGAUGCAGCGACGCCGCGUGAGCGAUGAAGUAUUUCGGUAUGUAAAGCUCUAUCAGCAGGGAAGAAUAAUGACGGUACCUGACUAAGAAGCUCCGGCUAAAUACGUGCCAGCAGCCGCGGUAAUACGUAUGGAGCAAGCGUUAUCCGGAUUUACUGGGUGUAAAGGGAGCGUAGGCGGCAUGGUAAGUCUGAUGUGAAAGCCCGGGGCUCAACCCUGGAACUGCCUUUGAUACUGGCAAGCUGGAGCGCGAUAGAGGAAGAUGGAACAUCUGGUGUAGGGGUGAAAUCCGUAGAUAUCAGAUAGAACACCAAUGGCGAAGGCAGUCUUCUGGAUCGUCGCUGACACUGAGGGACGAAAGCGUGGGUAGCAAACAGAAUUAGAUACUCUGGUAGUCCACGCCCUAAACGAUGCAUGCUUGUUGUUGGUUUCCUUCGGGGGAUCAGUGACGAAGCUAACGCGUUAAGCAUGCCGCCUGGGGAGUACGAUCGCAAGAUUAAAACUUAAAGGAAUUGACGGGGACCCGCACAAGCGGUGGAGUAUGUUGUUUAAUUCGAUGCUACGCGAGAAACCUUACCGACCCUUGACAUCCCGCACGCGAUUUCCAGAGAUGGAUUUCUUCAAUUCGGUUGGUGCGGAGACAGAUGCUGCUUGGCUGUCGUCAGCUCGUGUCGUGAGAUGUUAGGUUAAGUCCUGCAACGAGCGCAACCCACGCCCUAUGUUGCCAGCGGGUAAUGCCGGGAACUCUUAGGGGACUGCCCGCGUCAAGCGGGAGGAAGGUGUGGAUGACGUCAAGUCAUCAUGGUUCUUACGGGUCGGGCUACAAACGUACUACAAUGGCGUUAACAAUGGGUCGCAAUGUCGCAAGGCAAAGCCAAUCCUUAAAAAACGCCCCAGUUCAGAUUGCCCUCUGCAACUCGAGGACAUGAAGUUGGAAUCGCUAGUAAUCGCUGAUCAGAAUGCAGCGGUGAAUACGUUCCCGGGUCUUGUACACACCGCCUGUCAAACCAUGAGAGUCGAUUUCACCCAAAGUCGGUAGUCUAACGCAAGGGGACGCCGCCUACGGUGGGAUUGGUGAUUGGGGUUAAGUCGUAACAAGGUAAC
rnacentral:rRNA from 1 species